UAACUUUGGAAAUUCUACAGGGUUUUGAACACUGCAAGAAAAAGAAGACAUAACUUCACUUGAAAUAUGAUUAUGUCAUUUGAUAAAAAACACCAGCUUGUGAACCUGGGGAAGCUUAAUAAGAGGCCCAGGGCCAUGCCGACCAUGAUCCCAUGAACGGUCCUGCAGUGAUGUUUUGUAAUUACUGGGACUAAGACAGCCAAGAUCUCUUGGAUGCCGUACCUGUUCAGCAGCACAGGGUCAUGGGAAAACUGUACCCGCCUUGGUAAAAUCAAGAAAAUGGCAGGGACUGGCUGUGCAUAGGACCCAAGUCUACAAUAGGUAUUCCAGUCCCAGUUAAAAGAGAAGCACCGACAACUGCAGGAAUGGUGUUCAUUAAAUGGUUAAUCAGAAAUAUCUGUAAUAAGAUGUUUCCUGUUAUGGUUGCUCAGUCUCACAUGCUAGUGACAAAGAUUAAUGGUCAACCCAUUGUUACACAAGAGGCAGCAUCCACCAGGGGCCACAUCCUCAUACUUGCAAGCUGAAAAUCCUACCUGCCUAGGUGUGCAUAGUAAAUAUGUCAGUACAACGAAAUUCUGCCUUCAAAGAAAGGAGAGACCUGGACUUUGACUUCAGCCACACCAAAUCUCAAAAACGUAUUUUCUUCAACCAAUAUAAUACAUACUUGAUUCAUGUGUUUCUGGCAAUUCUCUUGUUGAAUGACUGAGCUACAUUUCAUCUGACUGCCCAUCUCUUGAAGAGUCCUCUAAGUGCAAAGUGCAAUACUCAGAGAAUUAAACCUGUUUAGUCCUGAGCAGAGAAGACCGUGCCAUGACCUAAUACAGGUCUUCAAAACCCUCAAUGUUGCUGAUAAAGAAGAUCCUGCUAAAUUCUUUCAACUAAACAGCAAAUCACAUAUUUGAGGACAUCACUGGAAAUUAAGAGGAAGUGUAUUUAAGACUGAAGUUAGGAAGCACUUCUUUAUACAAAGAGUU